GACAGAGGAUGCAAGCGUUAUCCGGAAUGAUUGGGCGUAAAGCGUCUGUAGGUGGCUUUUUAAGUCCGCCGUCAAAUCCCAGGGCUCAACCCUGGACAGGCGGUGGAAACUACCAAGCUGGAGUACGGUAGGGGCAGAGGGAAUUUCCGGUGGAGCGGUGAAAUGCGCAGAUAUCAGGAGGAACACCGGUGGCGAAGGCGGUUCUCUGGGCAUUACCUGACGCUGAGGAGCGAAAGUGUGGGAGCGAACAGG
rnacentral:rRNA from 1 species